rnacentral:tRNA from 2 species
AGAGACUUAGGCUAGUA